rnacentral:ncRNA from 1 species
AUAAAAAAUAAUUAUGGUUUGAAAAUUUAUUUUUAAUUUGUUUUACAUAUAAAUUUUAGUGUUAAAUUUGAUUUAUUUAAAAAAUAUUUUAAUUAUUUUGUAGUAAUUAUUAUUAAAUAUUUAAGAAAUUAAGAUUUAGUAAUUUUAAAAUUAAUAACAAAUUUUGUGCCAGCAGUUGCGGUUAUACAAAAAUUAAGUUAAAUUUUUUUAGUUAUUAAUAAAUAAAGAAAAUUAUUAUUAAAUAUAUUUAAAUGAUAGAUUAUUAGGUGAAAUUUUAAUUUAUUAAAAUUAUAUAGUUUUUUAUGAUUUAAGAAAUUUAUUUAAAAACUAGGAUUAGAUACCCUAUUAUAAAAAUUUAAUUAAAAAUACUAAAAUAGUAAUUAAUAAUUUAUUGAAACUUAAAUAAAUUGGCGGUAUUUUAGUUCAUUUAGAGGAAUCUGUUUAUUAAUUGAUAAUCCACGAAUGAAUUUACUUAAUUUAAAAUUUUGUAUAUCGUUGUUAAAAAAAUAUUUUUUAAUAAAAAUAAUAUUUAAAUUUUUAUAUAUAUAAAAGUUAAAUCAGAUCAAGAUGCAGAUUAUAAUUAAGAAUAUAAUGGAUUACAAUAAAUUUAUUUAAAUGAAAAUUAAUUUGAAAUAAUUAAUGGAAAGUGGAUUUAAAUGUAAUUUUAUUUAAUUUAAUAAAAUGAUUAAAAAUUAAGAUAUGUACAUAUUGCCCGUCGCUUUCAUAUAUAAUUUAUUAAAUAUAAAAUAAAUUGGAAUAAGUCGUAACAAAGUAGAGGUACUGGAAAGUGUUUCUAGAAAGA